AGAAGUUUAACCUGCUGCCAAGUUGUUCAGGUCUGGUUUAAAACAAUGUUUCUUUGAGAUGUAGAGGGAUGAGACAAAUGGAGGGGUGGAGGAUGAACCACAUAGAGGGUUGGGGAAAUGAGACACAUGGAGAGGCUGAUGAAGCUGGGGAGGUGUGAGACACAUGGAGCUGCUGGGGGGAGGGGAUGAGAAACAUGGAAGACUGGGGAUAGUGAGAUGUAUGGAAGGGCUGUAGGGAAAAAGAUGCAUGGGGGGAUCCAGGGUAAUUUUUGUAUCAGGGCCCAGUGAUUUCUAGUUAUGCCUAUGUGUGCAUCCCAACAAUUCUGACACACUGAAC